rnacentral:rRNA from 1 species
CAGUAGCCGCGGGAAUACGGAGGGGGCUAGCGUUGUUCGGAAUUACUGGGCGUAAAGCGCACGUAGGCGGCUUUGUAAGUCAGAGGUGAAAGCCUGGAGCUCAACUCCAGAAUUGCCUUUGAGACUGCAUCGCUUGAACGUCGGAGAGGUGAGUGGAAUUCCGAGUGUAGAGGUGAAAUUCGUAGAUAUUCGGAAGAACACCAGUGGCGAAGGCGGCUCACUGGACGACUGUUGACGCUGAGGUGCGAAAGCGUGGGGAGCAAACAGGAUUAGAUACCCCCGUAGUCCCUGUCUCUUAUAC